rnacentral:pre_miRNA from 1 species
CGUUGGUUAGUGAAGUGAUGUUGGAAUGGUUAAAUUAUUUUGUACAUGCUUGGCCUAGCAGGUUCUUAGUCAGCAGUCCACCACUCACAAUGUUAUAUUUCGCCUCAAAAAA